AGUCGACGCGAGUAAACGUCUUAAGGGGUUGAUACCCGCCACGUUCCCAAAGAGUCUCGCCGCGAGAAGGAAGUGGCGGACGGCAGCUUAAGGAAUUAACGGCUUUUCCCCACGUUUGUCAGUCGGUUAUUAGGAAAGCGCGGCGAGCAGGCUGAUUUGCAUGAGCACCUCUGAAAUUCCCCAUGUUACGAAGCUGUGGAAAUGCCAGAACGAUACGAGACAACGCUUCUUACUGUUAUUUUUUUGUACCUGGGUAGAAGUAGUCAGUUCUGAAAAUCUUUUAACGUUUAUCACUCCCAUAAAUCAUUCUGGAAAUACAAGAUUUCAUCUUUCAUCAUCACGCUGAGUGAGAAAUGAGGAAAAUUUCAGCCUAGCUGAAUAAUUUACCCUCAGCCUGUGCUGGAACACGGACAAACAGGAUGUAUUAUCCCCAAUAUGUGGAUAGAAAAAUGGAGGCAAAGAAGUACAGGCAUUCAUUUUUAAAGUAUAAAGGUGCUAAUUUGUAAGCAGGCAAUUUAGCUUUUUUUUUUUGGAGGAAAAGCACCGUGUAUGUACAGUUCCUAUUGAAAUUGGACUUUAGGCACCCAAGCAGAAAGACUUUGGCCAUACUCUUUUGGGGUCCUGCAGCCCUAAUCCCAUGUUCUAAUUGGCUAGUAAUCUGUGGACAGAUAUUGUAACAGUUCCUUUAGAAUAUUUUUCUACUUCUCACUCAUUUGCAUACUAAUGGCAUAAAAAUAGGCACUUCCUGCCAGUAAUUAGUUGGAGCCCAGAAUUUAAAGAAAGAAAAAGACCACAGCAUUAUGGUAGACGGAUGGUACUGAGGAAGCUGCAGAAAAGAGUCACUUCUCUGGCACUCAGAGAGUGCCUUUAAUUUAGAGUUCAAGGCUGGCAACUAUGUUACCUCUGUGUGACAGGGAUUAACUGUUUGCUUGGCCUAAUAACUUUGCCUCUAAUGAGCCCUUCAGUAACUUUUUUCAUUGCAAAUCACUCUUAUCUGUCCUAGAUCCAGUCUUGCUGCUCUAAAGCUUUUUCAUUUUUUUUCUUUUUCCCAGAAAGAAUAAUGCUAAUAGUAAAGUCUGCAUCGUGAGUGUAGUUCCUUGUGAAGCACCAUGAAUCAAACCAACAUUGAGUGUACUCAAGGAUUUUUGACCUAAUGAGUAUACAGCAACUGAUGAGCAUGGAGCAUCUGUGGCAAAGGAAAAAAACACCAUCUUCAAAUUUUGAGGAGCAAACAUGACCCUUUCUGUUUCUACUGUUUCCCACCCACAUUCAGUUAGUGUGAGAGAAGGAGGAAAAGGAAAAGGCAGAGGUCUUCUCUUUGCAUGGAAGGACUGCAGAAUUUAUUGUUUUCCCAAUCAUAAGCAAGCACUUCCAUCACCAUUUUUGCUCUACAUUCUAUGUGACAGAAACUGCGGCAGAAGUCAUUGAUACAUGGUACUGUCAAAUGCGGGAAAAUGAGGGACUGCAAUAUGAAACAAAAUGCCAAGGUUGGUGAUCAUUGGUAAGAUACUUGUGACUCCAAGCUGAAGCCCUAGUUUGUCCCCCAUGCAUGGUAUUAAGAAGUAUAUAAGGUGCUGUGUUUGCCUCUGAACUGGGUCAGUUCUCUCGGCAAUAGCGUGCAUUAGGGAUCGGCACAGGUUUCACAGCUGCACAGUGCAGAGUUGCUCCGCUAGGCAUGAGCUAAUGUACGGCUGAUUUCUCUCUGGGGGCACUUUGAUUCUGGGUUUCAGAGAGGACCCUUCCGGUAUUCCUAAUGAUAUUUUUGGCUACCGUGCCUGGCAGCAUUAUAGAGUUGUUGUGGACUCUGCAGCACAGAUACCAAAGAAACGUAGCCUGAAGAGCUGUAGCAGAAGACUUAAUAUCACAGCUGCCCACUACUCAAAAAGGCAAAGGUAUAAGUACAAAAAAAAAAGGUAUUUCAAGCUGUAUGAGCAGAUUAACAAAGCUGUUUGCUAUUAAGGACAAAAGCUUCAGGAAAAGAAAAAAAGAGGAAAUGGGCUGUAUUACUGUGAGUUGGCACAGAAAUGAAAUACCAGGGUGCAAUUUAUGUAUAGUAAUUGUUCAUGAAGCAUUCUUUUGGUUUUGAUAGUGACUCAUUGUGUUCUUUGUGACCUUUGAUGUACAGGAUGGGCUGCUAGAAGACAAAGGAAGCCACAAUAAGAAUAUAAAGCUUUAUUAACUUGAUUUUGUUGUUUUGUUUUUUUUUUUAUUGCUCACUGA